rnacentral:lncRNA from 1 species
GGAAGCCACCGCAGGAGGCGGUGUUCGUCUCGAACAUCAUAAACUCCUUCCCGAGCUGUUGGGCGAUGCCCGCCGAGUUGAGAUACGGCUGCACCAUUUGCACGCCCGACGCAUGGGUGAGGUAGUUCGGGAAGACAGUCUGGGGGUCCUUGAUGUCCCCGAACCCUCCACUGGGGAACUCGGCGGCACAAUUUUGGUCAGGAUAGCUGAGGGGGAAGUACCGUCAGGUCUUAUUCGCAGCACGCAUACAACGAGGAUGUGUACGUACUGCUCCAUAGCCAUGACGCUGAUCGAGGUCGAGUACGCAUCCAGAUAGCCGGUCGCCCACAGGUCUUCCGCCUUCCAAGUGCCCUGGAGACUAGGGGCUACGAGCUUGUUCGCAUUCUUGAUCCGACUGUCAUCGUGUAUCCCGUUGACCAUGACCCCGAACUCAUCAAAGUAAUUUUGGACGUUAUAGCUAUCGGGUCUGCGCUGGUGACUUCAACCAAUAAAAGUCAGGUUAAUGUUCCACAAGUAGCAUAUUCUGGGGCUUACGAAGCGUAGAGGUCAGGUUCGUUGCCAACCUGGUACCCAAGCACGUUGUCGCCCAGGAUAGCAUCUCCUAACUCGGCGAUCUGUAGGCGAAGGUUCGUGGUGUCGUUCAUUGGAAUUCCGAGAUACCACUUCGCGUUGACCAGGGAGGACACAUUCGCGAGCAGGUACAGCAGCUCGCUCGUAUAGUCCAGCGUGGGAGUCUGGCCCUACAAAGCGCAGUCGGUUCUGGAUGUCAACAAACGGAAGAACAUGAUCUAUCCAGACAGGACGCACCGUGCUCACGGACCCAGUUACGACGCUGCCGUCCUUCGCUAUCAUCGCAUUAUUUGGGAGGCUGUUCACAAGCGACGCCAUUUCCUGCGUGUUUCCGCCAACUCGAAUGCGGACAUUGUUGCCUCGGUCCGUGAGGGUGGCGAGGAGGUUAAGGAAAGCCACCUGGAUAAACGAGCUUGGCCGGAAGUGAGUUCCUCGAUCCUGCUUUUGAAUACUUCAUAUUACUUACGCAUUCUUGCCGACUGAGUUUGCGCCACAAUAGAUAUCUGGGUGAGCAACACUCCACACGAAAAGUGACCCGACCAUCGACACUCACUGACUUGCUCGACCACCGACAUCUCGAUCGAGAAUCCGUAAAAGUCUGCCCUCUGCGGAAUCGACAGCCCAGGCAUGUGCUGCGCCUGAUUCGGCAGCGCAAGCGCAAACGACGUCGACGGCAUAGGACUCGGAAGCGAAGGGGCCUGCAGCCGGACGUUGUUGUACGCAUUCAGAGCACUGACCCAACCAACGUUCCCCAGGGUCGCUUGGGGCCCAGACGACACCGACGUGCCAGUCGGGUUCAUCGGGCCAGCCUGGUUGUACACCGUCACCGCAUGGGAGGGCCAGAAACACUGGGCAAGGGCGAACAGGAGCAAUACGGGUUGCGCAAACAUCGAUCGCGUCACCCCGUGCACCCGGAAAGCACGAAGAGAAAGGAGGAGAAAAGGAAGAAAGCGCGUCAGCGGUCGCCACAAGAUGGAGAGGAAAGGGGGAAGAACACGCACCAGGGCUGAGACGCGAGAGCCUUAUCCGUUCCUCGAGCGCACUGCUGCCCAGGGUCUGUCGCUGACAGUAAACACUGCUUCAGGUGUCCCAGACAUCGGAACGCUGGCUAGCCACGGCCCACGAUCACCCCCGGGACGCGGCGUCACAUGCCCGCCAGGUCAAGGGGGCAUCCCAUGCUGUUCAAUCGCUCAGUAUAGUCCACCUGUCUGUUUUCAAACGCGAAUCACACAUUGGCAAGAACUGACCGAGACCGAAGACAAUAUUCCGAUAUUGGGACGCCCUGGGCCGACCAAAGAACCCGAUAGGACCCGAUGUCGAUCCACCGUCCCACAGACCAUUAAUAGGUAACCCACCGAUAGCUCACCGAUAGUAACACUGAAUUGCGCUUGCUCUGACCUGAGGGUAGGAGCACCGGAGGGUUUUGCCCAACAUAAGUAGUUCGCGUGCAGUUCGCAAGAACAAGUUGACUGAGAAGCUGGGAAGGCUUCCGAUCCGCCUCUCCGCGCUAAUAUCAUCGGAUGGGCCAGGCUCUCCAGCGCGAGCUAAGUAGAAGCUCAAGCGGCCACGACUGCCCGCAUCCGCGCUCGAGACAUUCCGGACCAUGGUGAAAUUGAAUGAAGGACCCAACCUGCACAUGUUUCCGGUCAUAACGGGCAGAGAAAUCCGAUGUCGACGAAUACCCACCUCCCGAUACUUUGGCCGCUAUCCCCGCGUCCGACACCCCAGCGCGAACGCGCGGGUCCUCAGAAAGCGGAAAUUACAUUAAAUAACCCGCAGCAGGGCCUCCUGACUUAGAUUACCGUAGGUGGUACAAGAAGGCGAAGGUCCUCCGUGUGCGCGUCUAGCAACCGAUAAGUAUAUACAGUCCAGCACGAUCCAUAAGCACAAGUGACAAGCCUAACCCAACCACGCCCCCCCAUCCAUAUCCUACUCAACUCCCCCUAGCCAUCCACAGCCAGCGCCGGUCACCUCCUCAGCGCACCCCCAACCGCCCACGCGCCGAGCACCAGCAUCGCCAAGAGCGCCACCCCGGGCGCGCCGACGGCCCUGCGCGCGUCGCUGCUCCCCUGGCUCGUGCUCGACAGCGAGCGGUCCUUGCCGCUCUGCCCGUUCGACGUCGCGAGCACGCUCGCGUCGACGCUCACCGUGUUCGCGGACUUGGUCACCGCCGUCGUCGCGUACGUCUGCGUCUGCGCCGGGUCCGUCUCGCCCUGCGCCGCGCUCGACACGAACACGAGCGCGACCCCCGGCGCGGGCACCGGGAUCUGGCACGUGUUCGCCGUCGUGUCGCACGCGAUCGUCUGCACCUCCUCCGUGCCCGAGAGGCGGCCGUCGCACUCGAAGCGCCCGCCGAACGUCUGUGGCAAAGUGAGUGACGGUCAGCAAGAAUGGCCAGGCAGGUGAGGAUAGGGCAAAUAGGCUAGAUUGAUGCGCACCUGGCCCGCCCACGUAACGUUGUCCUUCUCCGCGACGGACGGCGCGAGGAGGUACUUGACCUUGACCUGCGCGGGCGUGGCGUUGGCCUCGCCCGUCUGGCCGCCGCCGACGGAGAUCGUGGCCGUGUACGCGCCCUGGCCACCCUGCUCCGUCAUGUAGUUCAUGAGCACCAUGCGCGCGAGCGCGCCGUUCUCAUAGAUCGCGUACGCGGGCGUCUGGUCCGCGUUGCUGUUCGCGAACAGGUCGAGCACCUGCGACGUGUUCGUCGUGCCCAGCGCCUCGGCGAGCACGAGCGUCGAGUACAUGAUCGGCCCGACGGUCCACCCGUGCGUCGUCGAGAUGUUCGUCGGGGGUGGAGUGAAGGGCUGUAACCCCAAUAACGAGGCGCAUAUAUGGACCCUUGUCAGUCAAUGUCAACACAAGCAAACAGCCAGGGACGGGGCUCACGUUGUACGACACAUCCUGCCCACCGAUGUGCAGCAGCGCCCCGGUGAAGUUGCUAUAUGCCAUCUGCAGCCCAUAGUCGACCGCCCAGAGCGCCGACCCAAAGCUGUCGCUCACCCCGGGGAACCCGCCGCACGACGCCGUGUUGGUCUCGAACAUCAUGAACUGCUUCCCCGCCUGCUGCGCGGUCGGGAUCGAUGGGAGGUACUGCGCGAUGAGGUUCUUGCCCGCGGCGUGCGUGAGGUAGUUCGGGAACACGUCCUGCGGGUUCACCGGCGUGCCGAAGCCCGCGUCGGGGAACGCGGCGGCGCAGUUGUUGUCCGGGUACUGCUCGACGGAGAGGAUGGAGAUCGCGCUGCUGUAGCUC